UUCUAUAACGUAGCUUCAAGAAGAGAAAAAUGUUUUGGAUGAAUGUUCUUUGUUUCAUCAGGCAUGCUGCCAAUAUUGUUACUACUGUAAUGGCGCUGGUUGCAAUCUUUUCUCGUUAGGAUAAUAUUAGCUCUAUCAUUAAAUAAGUACGGUAUCUUUUCGGAGUUGUUGGUAUUGUUUUCUUUAGGAUAUGAAUAUGAUGAAGGUAAAUCUUGUUAUCUCAACUUUUUAAAUAAGAACAAUAUUGUUUCUCCAUCAGCUACUUCUUUGGCAUGUUGCCUGUACGAUCAUUAUCGUUGCUUCAAUUUAGCUUUUACUACUAGCUUUGUGCCUUUGCAAUUUAGCUUUUACUACUAGCUUUUGUCAUUUUGAUUCUAUAUGUAGUCUUAUUCUGGAAUGGCAUUUUUGUAGAACUUGGUCUCUUUUGCUUUGUAUAUAUAUUAAUGCAAUC
rnacentral:lncRNA from 1 species